UACGGAGGGGGCUAGCGUUGUUCGGAAUUACUGGGCGUGAAGCGCACGUAGGCGGCUUUGUAAGUUAGAGGUGAAAGCCCAGGGCUCAACCCUGGAAUUGCCUUUAAGACUGCAUCGCUUGAACAUCGGAGAGGUAAGUGGAAUUCCGAGUGUAGAGGUGAAAUUCGUAGAUAUUCGGAAGAACACCAGUGGCGAAGGCGACUUACUGGACGAUUGUUGACGCUGAGGUGCGAAAGCGUGGGGAGCAAACAGG
rnacentral:rRNA from 1 species